UUUUUUUUUUUUUUUUUUUUUUUUACUUUGGAGAACAGGUGAAGAACUCCAUGUGUUUAUCCUUCUAGACUCAGGAAUUAUUUGCAGUAUAAAGUAAUAAUUUUUCUGAUUUCAUAGGCCUUUAGAGGUCUGAAGUCUUUCUUUAUCCUUUUAGAGGCUGCAAAAGAUUGUAGUCAAAUGUUUUGUAAUCAUAUGUGGGGGAAAAAAAAAAGUCUGUUAAUCGUGUUCUUUUUUUCAUUCUAAAUAUGUAUGCCUUCAAAAAAUAUUAGUUCUCCUUCAAUACACACUCCCUUUAUUUGCCUUCACCUUGGGAUAGUUAUAAGGUGCCAAGUUGUCAAGAAUGAUACCUAAAAAAAGAUUCUAGGACCCUUUAGUUCUUUAUCUCUGACCAACGUUAUAUACUAUGAACAGGUGUUUGAAUGCCGGCUUUAAAACAAAAGUGAAUGAAUUCCAGAUGACCUUUUCUAAAUUGAGAUGUUUAAAAUGGAAUAUGCCUGGAUGGUCUGGAAAGUGGCUGGUGGGUCUUCUAUUGAACUAGAAAAUAGAAGCUUCAGAAAACAGAGAAAGAGUUGGUUAUUAAGUUCUCCUGAGGGUAUUGUAUGCCAGUUAUCUAGGGAAUUUGUUUGUUUAAUCAACUUUAUUAAGAUAUAAUUUACAUGCAAUGCACUGCUUUCAUUUUAAGUGCUCACUUUGGUUUUGUCAGAUGUACACAUGCAUGAAAUUACCACUAGCACUAUCAAGAUAGAGCACAUUUCCACCAUACCCCAAAGAUUCCUUACCUCCUUAUGCAGCCUACUCCUCUCUGAAUCCCCGGGGACCAGUGAAUGGAUUCUUAUCACUGUAGAUUAACUUGGCAGGGCAGUCAUGUAAGUACACAAUAUUUGUUCAACACAGAACAUUGACCAGUUUGACAAGAUACAGAGAAGAGCAAUGACAUGAAGGGAAGGGAGGGCUUGGCAUGAAUUAUAUAUCCUUUGUCUUAAUAGUAACUAAAGAUGUUGCUAUUUGAUAAUGCUUCAAGGACAUCAACAUGGAAUGAGAAGACUUAUAAUGAAAAAGCUCGCCUUGUUCUAUUAUAACAUAAUCACCAGGAUGUAGGAAGCUUAGUUCUUUGAGUAUACUUCAAAACAGAAAUAGAUGAAUAUGAAAGCAAUCACAACAAUCCCCUUUUACAAAUUCGAGAGGUAGGCCUCUCUAUGCAUACACAUCUCAAGUCAAUUUUCUAUGACCUGCUGUAUAUAUACUACAAAUGUGUAAGUGAAUUUCUUAAUAUGAUUUUAUCUAUUUAGGUAAAUGAUAAAUGUUAAUCUCCAGAGCCUUUGUUUUCCUCUUCUACAGAAUGCUGGGCACAGCUCAUGGGUGCAAAAUACUUAGCAAAUGUCAGGCCAUAUACAUGUUUAUUUAACAAAGGAUAAUCAUCAUUAAGACAGUUAGGUGGUCUAGCAGAGAUCAGAUCCCACACUAUUGAAUUUAUUAAUUAUUGUCAAUAUAGUUUGAACUUCUAGCAGUGUCUCAAAUUUCACACUGAUAUUUCUCUAAAGGAUCCAAUGCUCAGUCACUCAUUGUAGAAGUGAAUAAUCAAGGCCAGAGCUCAGUCUUAGGCUAAUAAAUAACAAUCCUUCAAGUCAAAUAGAAAUAAAAGCUGUUGACAUCUUUCCUGCUGUUAUCAUUGCUUCCUUGUGGUGCUAUUUUUAACACAUGUAUUAGCUUACAUUUUAAAGGCGUUUUCUGUAGUUCAUUAGACGUCAACUAUUAACAUUUUAAUAUGUACUUUUAUACUUUAGGUACAUGUAUAUACAUAUACAUUUUUUGACAAAAAUGAUUUAUACCACAUGUGUGGACUUAUUUUUUUUAAAAUCUAGUGUACUGAUAACAUUUGGCAAUACAUGUAGUUUUAUUUAUCCAUUCCUCUUUUGCUAGGUAUUUGAAUUAUUUUUUUCUCUAUUAAAAACAAUGCUUCUAUAAACCUUAUUGUAUAUAGAUAAUUGCAUACUUAGUGGAUUUGGUGCCUAAAAACAUCACUUCUAAGAAAAUAUUGUAGGGUCAAAUUAUGGGUGUGUAAGGCUUUUAAUGAUAUUCAUGAGUUGUCCUCUCUAAAGAUUGUGCAAUUUAUUCUACCCCUCCCACUUGAAUGGAUGCAUAUUAAUAAGUUCCUGAUUUUCCAACUUUUUCAUAUGCUGCUAUAGUUGAGCAUGCAAACAUAAAAAAAACACAAGAGGAUAUAUUCAUUUUUUCCAGAUUAGUCAGUGAAUACAAAGAGACCAGCUAAUCAUUUCUGAGCCAAAGAAUGGCAAUUUAGAGGGCUUGUAUCUGGAUUUGUCCUACAUAAACAAGGUGGGCAUCUUUGAGUCUUCUCUAAGUCAUAUGAGAGAGGAUAUUUUUCUGCAAUAAGCUCUUUUCUGGAACACAAGAGGGUAGGGAGAUUUCUUUAUCUUUGUUCUUUUCAGGAGCACAGGGUUCAGGUUAAGUUCCACACUGUUAGUUAAAUGCAAUCCCAGUUAAAAUCCCAACAUAUAUUUUUUUGUGGAAAUUAGCAAACUGGAUUCUGAAAUGUGUAUGGAAAUGCAAAGAGCCAAAUAUAGUCAAGGCAAUUAUGAAGGACUGUUGUUAUUCUAAAAUUAAACAUUACCAGUAUUAAAUAACAAAAUUUAGCCAAGCAAAUGUAAAUAUAUAAUUGGCUUUAUUAAAUGAUUCAUGAAUCCAAUAGCUCCCCAUCUAGCAAGUAGACAGUCUAAGGACUUGAACGAAAUGGAAGGUUUUUAUAGAGGGAAGGUGGGGGCAAGGAAGUUGAUAGCAAAAGAAGAGUUGUUCCAGCCAAGGGAUCUUGUUGGGUGCAGAUGACCUUUUCUUCCUUUGAGGGAUGGAGAGGGUCCAUGGGACAGACUCAUUGGUGCUGCUGAGCAAUUCCUGACCAACUCUUAAGACCAUUUCUGAGGGAGUUUGAAACUGAUGAUGUAUUCAGAACUAUUUGGGAACUUGGUUUAAGUGAUAGCAUUUUUGGCUUGUGAGUUUUUCUUUUCUGUUUUUAAAUACAAAUUAUCAAGACAUAUUACAAAAGCUCUGCUAAUUAAGACAGUAGAGUAUUGGCAUGAGUAGGACAAAUGAAAAGAAAAGGCUAGGGAAUCAGAAACAGAUCCAUUCAUGUUACAGUCCCUGAUUAAUGACUUAGAAAGACUGAUUAAAGUAAUGGCUCUGAUUUUUCCCCCCUUCCUUUUUCCAUAGUUCUUUGCCACAUGACUGAAGUUUUCCCACCAAAAGUUCAAAGUCUGUCUCCCUGCCCCUUGAAUCUGAGUUCAGCUGCAUGACUUGCCUUGGCCAGUGAGAUGUUAGCAAAUAUAACCUAUGCAAAGACUAGGGGAAAAACAAAAACAAUACCUCACAGCAGUUGCACAUUUCUAUGUCUGUUUUGGCCAGCACCAAGAGUACACAUUUAGGCUAAUCUGUUGGAAGAGAUAGGUACAACAGUGCUCUGGUACUCCAGUUGUCCCAGCUGGGGCCAUCUUCUAGAGGUGGAAAACUGGAGUGUCAAGCAAGUGUUAAUCACAUCUUGUGGAAAGACAAACAUUUAAGGGAUAAAAGAGGCAAAUAACUCAAGGCAAAAUGAAAAGUUAAAGUGGAAUGAAAUUGAAAUAGUACUGAACUUGGCUUAGUAAUGAAAAAUAUUUACAUAGUCAUAGUAACAGUUUUAAAAGUCACAUAUGGAUCUUAUUAAAGAUGUGAUGAAAUUAUAUCAAGAGGAAAACGGAAGUGAAGUUAGGUGAGGGGGGGAGGUGGCUGAUGAGAGAAGAGGGUUAAAUCAUCAUCUUUCAUAGUAACAAAUCAGUGAGUAAUAGAAAAACAUGGAAGAUCCAUCAUGUGAAUUGAAAAUAUGAAGGCAAAUACCAGAAAGAAGAACUAAAAGGGUUGAAAAUAGUGUCUCUGGGGUCUGGGAGGCUUGGGAAGGAUGACCAGGGGACAGAUGUCUUUCAUUUUAAGUCAUCUUAUUAGUUGAUCUUUUAAUGAUAUAAAAAUAGUACCUGGAUAAGAUAUAUAUAUAUAUAUUUUUUUUUUUUUUAAAGAGUUGGUAUCAGAAGCUAUCCCUACCUAAGCUCUCCUAAUACCUUGCUAUUGUAUUGCAAGCUCAUGUGUUUAUUGAUUCCCUUUUUCCUCCCCUGUCUGAAAUUCAUGAGCCUUCUUUUAUUUAUUUAUUUUUUUAAGACGUUAUUCAUUCAUGAGAGACACACAGAGAGAGGCAGAGACAUAGGCAGAGGGAGAAGCAGGCUCCCGAUUGGGAGCCCACCAUGGGGCUCCAUCCCAGGACUCUGGGAUCACACCCUGAACCAAAGACAGAUGCUCAACCGCUGAGCCAUCCAGGAAUCCCAAUGAGCUUUCUUAAAACAUCCCAAAUCUAGAGUCUUACUAAUAAAGCUUUGAUUCAUUAGUAAUAAUGAAUGAAAGAGUACAUCUGGUUCUGAAAACCAUGCCAUCCCUACCCCUUGAAUCCCUCCAUUCCAGCUCGUGUGCUACAGCCAAGAGUUCACUAUGUAAGCAGAAUACAAAACCACCAGGAUGAAAACACAAACAAUUUAAGGAUCACCAGCUUAUGGUAAUGCCAGCUACAUCCAAAACAUUUAAGUGACCCAGUGCUGCCUGCCAUUGCCCUAAGGCUGAGAUUGGGUCCUGCCUUUUGUUUCUUUGGAUGAGCUUAUUUAUUGUAAACAAUAAAUUUACAAAAUUAACUGGAUUUGGGUUGCAUACUCUAAUAUUCAGUAUUCUUAUGUCCUCUGAUAAGCCUUCAAACACUCAUCUAAGGAAUUACUAUCCCCCAUGGAUUCUCACUUUUUACAUACUUUUUGUUCUUUUUAACUCGGUCUUUCUGAAUUUUUUUUUUUUUUUUUUGUAAAAUUGAAAUCUAAGUUCCUUUGGUUCAAAUGUUCCAACAGUGGUGGUGGUCAGAUGGUAAAAUGACUUGCUUUAUUAUACUAUGUUACGUUUUCCUUUCAUUUUUUUUCUAUCCUAAGUCUUCAGCUAUGUAUUCUUUUUUUUUUUUUAAUCUAUACAUUGAUAUUCUUUUUUGCCCUUGAUCAAAAAUGAAGGCCUGCAGUUGUCUGGUAUGUACAAAUUAACUUGAAGUUCAGGAUAUUCCAACAUCUAACUUUCCCCAAGGAAAACUUGUGAGAAACAGUGUGUUUCAUUUAUAACAAAUUUCACAAAGGCCCUCUCUGAUGGGAACUCAACAAAUGUCACCUCUUUUGUGGGUCUUUUAAGAACUCAGUAGACUGAUUUUUACAAACCAAAAUAAAAUAGCUGUUUCUCUAAUGUGCUUUCUUCUCACUGUUCAUUACUGCUAUGUGUUCCAGAACUCACUCAGGACUUGGGGGUGUUUUUGAUCUGCACAAAAUAGCUGUGAUUAGACAGGGAAUAAUGAGCCAUUAUAGAAGCAUCCGCUUCUCAAUUCUUGUAACUGGCCACUCUGAUGACUAGCAGUGUCACUGGAGAGUUUUCCUGGCAAAAAAAGGCCGUUUUCAAAUUUAUGAGAUUGAUUAUAGUUCAUUUUAUUUACAAAUAUAUGUUGACCACCCCCUAUGGCAGGACUUGAACUAGGGAGCUAAUCAUAAUCAAAGGAAACCUUGUGGUGCAAAGUGCAGUUUGCACCCCAUAAACAUGGGGAUGACUCUCUGAGUUAUUAGAUAUCAGGAUCACAGUUGGUGAUAGGUGGGUGGUGAAGAGUGGUCGUGAUGUAUCUGUGCUGAUACAUGCAUGAUAACUCUUGUUGCCAUGUGGUCUAUUGGCUGUUGGAAGACACUGCUUGAAUCACCCAUUAUCCCUACAGUUCAAGUACAGCUUUUCCUCAGAUCUCCGUAAACUGCUUUGGGGCAUGUGAAAUCAUCCUCAUGCUCAAAUGCCACUUUAACCUCAGAAAACACCUUUAGCACUAAGGUUCUGUCUGGUUUGAGGAUGCUUUUUGGCAAAUCAGUUGUUUUAUUGCCCCAAGUCAUGCUCUUUGUGCACAAUGCCCUCUCUGCCUACAUAUAUGGCAGCAGGUUUUCUCUAGAGUUCUGUUACUUUCUUGGGUGCCAGUGUUUGAUAAAUAGAUCAUCUCUGCUCUCCUGUCUGCAAACUAAUACAAGUUUGUCACAUCUGCACUUGUUGGAGGGCUCCCCAUUCUCUGUAUGACCCUAAAAAUCUCUGUCUGCUCCUUACCUUCCCCUUUGCUCUUCAUCCCAGUUGGGGUUUUUUUAAUCUAAUCAAGUGAGUGGAAUUGGAAGUCAUCCAUAUAGCUGUGGCCUUUACUUACUUCUUGUCUAGGAGAGUGUGUUAGACUUUUGAAACUCAAGAGCCGAGAGUUUAUUUUCUUCCUUCAUGAUGUGUUUUUCCUCAGAAGCAUGAAGUAUAGAAUGGCAUGGGCAGUACUUUAAUGAGAGACAAUAGGUACAGGAUAUAAGAUUUAAUAAGCAUUCAUGUUUCAAAAUAUUUAAUCAGAUCUGGUUAGUUCUGCUCCAAACCUACUUUACAUAAAACACUACAUAAAACACUCCACUGUUUUAUGUAAAGUAUUUAUGUAUGUAUUUGCUUCCUUUUAUGUAAAGAAACAACAUUAAUUGACCACAAGAGAGUGAAGUGUACUUCACACGACAGUGUUUGAAGAUGACUUGGUGAAGGAAAUGGAAGUUUACUUUGAUAAUGGAAAAUGGGUGUGAUUUCAGUGGAAAAGAUCUUGGCAGAAGAAUGACUGGAAAAGACUUUCCCAAUAAAGAGAAUAUCUAAAUAAAGAGAAGAAAUCCGAGAGGAUCUAGGACUUGCACGACAGCAGUUUCCAUAGGGCUGGAAUCUUGAAUGCAUUCUGUCUAGAACACAGUCUCUACAGAUAUGUCCUUACCUGCUGUGUGAUCACAGGUGACUUAAGCUUUCUGUGCCACACUUUUCUCACAUGUGAGUGGCAAUAAUGAUAGAACCUAUCAUAUGGCAUCGUGUGACAAUAAGGUGCAUUAUACUCAGUAAUGUUUGGAGCAGUGCUUGGAACCUAGAAAACACUAUGCAUUAGCUACCAUUAGAAUUUUAUCAGGUAAAAGAAGAGAAAGCUAAGCUACAGAAGAUUCAUGAAGAGCCUUGAGUGAGAUUAACAAACUGGCUCAAGAUGGCUUAGGGACAAAUUCAUCUGGGCAAGCUGCUGAACUCAUGAUUCUCAAAUAGUAUUGUGUGUAGGAAUGACCAAGUAGUUCAUUCUAUAUGAGAUUGCAAGUCACCAUUUCCCUCUACGGUGGUUGUGAUUUAGUAGGUACAGUGUGUGGUGAAGAAUGUGAGGUUUUUAAAAUUAUUAUUUUCAAAAGAUUUUACUUAUUUUAGAGAGAGUGCUAGUAGGGAGGAGGAGCAAAGGGAGAGGGACAAGCAGAUUCCACACUGAGCGUGGAGCCCAACAUGGGGCUCCAUCUCCAGAUGCUGAGACCUUGACCUGAGCCAAAAUCAAGUCAGAUGUUCAACUAACUGAGCCACACAGAUGCCCUAAAAAGAUGUGAGUUUUUAGUGAUAGUUGUCAGAUCUGGGAUGGGAGUGAGGCAAGUUAGAGACCUAAGAUGGAAAAUUGAAGGUGUCCUCUCACCUCCCUGUUUGUACAGUGGUGGCCCUGAGACUGAGUGCCUCAGUCGGUUUUGCACCGUGGAUGCCUCAUGCGCUUCAUUCUGGUCUGGACACUGAGAUUUCUGAUGCUGGUGAAGGAAGAAAUAAUUCAUUCUUUCAUUAGACCUGUUUCUUGAGUACCUGCUGGCACUAUUCCAGACUUUUGGCCUGCAUCAGUGACCUCAACGGACAGAGAUUUAGCAGCAGAGACAGAAUAAAAAACAUAAUAACUAAGUAAAUUGUGUAUAGUUUGUAAGAAUUUGUUCUGUGGAAAAAAGUAAAAAUGGAGCCUGACAAGGCUAUUCACUCAUGCUUACAGAGACUGUAUUUUAAAGGAAGGCUAAAGCCACUUCUGAGGUCCAAUUUCCAGUACCUACUCACAUUCAUCAGGAAUGUUUUCCUAUGGGGUAGCCCUAUUGGCUCAGCGAUAUAGCGCCACCUUCAGCCCAGGGUGGGAUCCUGGAGACCCGGGAUCGAGUCCCAAGUUGGGCUUCCUGCAGGGAGCCUGCUUCUCCUUCUGCCUGUGUCUCUGCCUCUCUCUAUGUCUCUCAUGAAUAAAUAAAUAAAAAUCUUAAAAAAGAAAAGGAAUGGCUUCCUAAAGUCUCCUAUGUUGGAAAAGCAUUCUGAGACUACCUCUUUCCUCAGCUGGUAAUAAGCCACUGGCACUGUCUGCCAUGGGUUCAGUCAGGGAGAAGGGGUUAUCAUUUCCAUCUAUUUGCUUCCUCUAACAUACAAUACACCAAAAGUUUGAGCUCUUUCAAUAACUAGCAUUAAGGUGGCCUAUGGUAUACUUGCCAGUGACACAGAUGUUCUGCUUUUUUGGAAGCUAAAGAACCUCCAGUUGUUGGAAAAGAUUCUGUGAGGAAAAGCUAAAGGCAAAUUGACUGUAAAAUAUCACUGAAAUGAGAAAGCAGGCUGUAAUACUAAAAAAUUUAGAGAAGAAUGAAUUCUAUGAUCUACUUAGCAUUUGUCACACACAAAUGUCAUAGAAUUUUAGAACUAGAAGGGGACCUUGGCGAUCAUCUAGCAAAGCAGAUAUGAAAUGAAAGUUAGGAAAUGAUGAGUGCAAAGAUCAUUUAAUUAAGAAAAUCUCCUUUGUAAAACGAGUGAUAAAGGGAGAGAGCCGCUAUUACUGAAAACAGGAGCCCACAGCCAGCCUUAUCCAUCAGAACACAUGGCAAUUAGAUGUUUGAAGACAAAGCGGAGGAGACUAAGGGCACAAAAGGACAAGAAUAAAUCAGGAAAAUAAAUGAGCCAAAAAAUAAAAAAUAAAAA
rnacentral:lncRNA from 1 species